UGUACCAAAUUGCUCUUAAAAAUUAAACAAGAAGAAGAAGAAGGAAGCAGUGCUUGAGGAAGGACAGAACCCUAGUAUGGCUGGAGACAGGACAGAGAGGAGAGGGUAAGAGUGAAUGGGCCAGCCGGAAGUCAUGCUGAGGGUUUUGUACAUUUAUACUGGGGAACAUGGGAAGGGGUGGAAGAGAUUAAGCUUGUAACAUGUGGACUGGAUUUCACUCAUGCCGCUGGGUUACCCUUCCUAUUUUUCUGGGGGACAGGAGUCAGGCACUGUGGCAUGGGGAGUGGCAGCAGGUGACACAGGACCACCAAGACAGAGGAGUAUUCAAAAGCGAGGGGGACCCCACGUCAAGAGCAACCUCCUCUACUCCACGAUGUUCCUUAAACCGUCACCAGUAAACAAAAAAUGCCCUCUGCAUGGGCGUUUUUUCAGUUUCUCAUGACUGCACCCAUAUGGCACCAGAAAUACUGGCUUUACCAUAUGGCCCCGGUUCUCAAUGGCUCUAAGACACCCUCCAAAAUGGUGCCAGAAAACUAUAUGAAAGUCAUCAAGAACAAGCAGACUAAGUUUCCUCCUUCUUGGUUUAGGGCUACCUGUUGAAGAAGGCAACAGCUCCAAUCUAGGUGUACCCUCCCUCUGUGAGAUCUUGACAUCCCCCCCACCCCCCAACACACACACGGUGUUGCAGUCUCUGCUCACACCUAGCUCUUGGGUGACUGAAACCUUCAGAUAGGUUGGGUCCUGACUUUAGCCAGGCUUUUAUUAUUUGCGAGUUUGUUUUUUGCAGUGCCACGGUAAAACAUUCACUGAGGCGCUUGCCGAGGACACCGUCUGUCCUGGGGUGAGGACGUGUUUCUGAUGGCACAGCAGAAGCCUUCUGCCCUCCAAGCUCCUGGCUCUCCCACAGCCCUCUUGCAACCAGAGAACUUGACCUGGAACUAAGCACAGAAGUCUGGGCUCCUUACAUUUGGGAAUCUUCAGUGAACCCAUAGAACGUAUAGUGUAAGGAGACAGAAUACCAACAUUUAGGAGUUCAGCAAAAGAAAUACAGUCCAUGAAGAAACUUGAGAAGCCAGUCACCAUGUUGUCAGGAUAUUCAGACAGCCCUGUGGAGAGGCAGUGAGUGGAGAGGCCACAGGGGGAGGAACAAACUUGGCAGCUGGAGGAGUGAGCCACAUUGAAACCAGAACCUUCUGCUUCCGUCAAAACUUCAGAUGAUCCCAGACCCCAGUCUUCAAGGCUUCCAACUGAGACCCCAGAUAACAUGAGGAAACAAACCAUCCCUGCUGUUCCUUAUUUUAAUAUUAGACCAACAGAAACUAUGAAAUAAUAAAUAAUUAUUGUUGUUUCAAACCACUAAGUUUUGGGGUGAUUUAUUAUGCAGCAAUAAAUAAUUAAUACAGAGGAGCCAGAAAGGCAGGAGAGAAAUUGAGAGAGUUUGAUAAGAUAAUUUGAAUUUUAAAAACUUCAACUGUCUAAUAUCCAAAAUGUAUAGGGAA